CCUACGGGAGGCAGCAGUAGGGAAUAUUGCUCAAUGGGGGAAACCCUGAAGCAGCAACGCCGCGUGGAGGAUGAAGGUUUUCGGAUUGUAAAAUCCUUUUGUUAGAGAAGAUAAUGACGGUAUCUAACGAAUAAGCACCGGCUAACUUCGUGCCAGCAGCCGCGGUAAUACGGAGGGUGCAAGCGUUACUCGGAAUCACUGGGCGUAAAGAGCGCGUAGGCGGGAUAGCAGGUCAGAUGUGAAAUCCUAUGGCUUAACCAUAGAAGUGCAUUUGAAACUGUUAUUCUAGAGUAUGUUAGAGGUAGGUGGAAUUCGUGGUGUAGCGGUAAAAUGCGUAGAGAUCAAGAAGAAUACUCAUUGCGAAGGCGACCUGCUAGAACAUAACUGACGCUGAUGCGCGAAAGCGUGGGGAGCAAACAGGAUUAGAUACCCGGGUAGUC
rnacentral:rRNA from 1 species